UUGCUUCAGUAGCACAUAUAAUAAAAUUGGAACGAUACAGACAUUAGCACGGCCCCUGUGCAAGGCUGACAUGCAAAUUCAUGAGGCGUUCCAUAUUUUU
ensembl:snRNA U6 U6 spliceosomal RNA